rnacentral:lncRNA from 1 species
AAUUCUCGAUGAAACCCUUGAGUUUUCUUUGGUUUUGAGUUUGAGAUUAAAAGAGAGUAAUUUGAUCCUUGAAAACUAAAGAAAAUAAGCUUAUUUUAUGUUAAAGGGUAGUACAAGGGUGAAAAGACCCAAAAGCCUCUCAUUCCAAGUGAAUAAAAACAAAACUGCAUGAAAAUUAGGCCUUGGAGUGGCACGCCAAUAUUACGAAGGCUAUCCUCUAUGUCGCGCCAAUAUCAUAGAGGGCGGGCU